rnacentral:rRNA from 1 species
UACGUAGGGGGCUAGCGUUGUCCGGAUUUAUUGGGCGUAAAGAGCUUGUAGGCGGUUUGUCGCGUCUGCUGUGAAAAUCCGGGGCUCAACCCCGGACUUGCAGUGGGUACGGGCAGACUAGAGUGUGGUAGGGGAGACUGGAAUUCCUGGUGUAGCGGUGGAAUGCGCAGAUAUCAGGAGGAACACCGAUGGCGAAGGCAGGUCUCUGGGCCACUACUGACGCUGAGAAGCGAAAGCAUGGGGAGCGAACAGG